GACAUGGUCAGAGAGUCUGUCUGCAGAAUAGGAGAAAAAAAUAUGUCUGGAGACUGGGCUAAGCACACAGUGUAACCAAAUAAUGCUUCAGCCAUUGUAUCCGUUGAUCAGUUUACUCAAAUUUCAUUGGUUAAUCUUACUUAACAAAUCAUGUAAAAUAAGAUAGUUAUGAGAUAUGAAUUUGGCAUGCCACAAGUUACUUGAAGACAUAUGAAGUUCAAUAUAAUUAACUGACCCUGAGAUUCGUGUAGACAUCUCAGAAGAAUGUUUUACAUGCCAAAGCUUCUUGUAGUGCGCCUUUUCUAAAAAUGAUCAAAAUGCAUUGCAGCAAUUUUAGAGAAGGGCUAUGCUAUCAAUAGAAGUCCUUUAAGCCCAUGUUUUGGACAAACGUUUGCUAAUUAAUUCCAGAAAUUAAACAAGUACCUAGAUUUUUUGUAACCUACAUCCAGGAAUAGUUUAAAGAUUUUUCUUUCUGCAAAACUGAUCUAAUGUCUUUCUCAUAUCAAAAUUCUUUCCAUGCAUUGCACACACACACACAACUUGUAAAUUAUUUUAGGUUUACUGCAAUUACAUCAAAACACUUGGUGCCCCCAAAUGCCUGAAGAUUUAUAGCAUGAAAAUUUCCUCUGUUGAAAAUGCUGCCUCUUUGCCUUUCAGACUAGUGGGCAGUAAAAACAUGGGAUUAUUAGGAACAGUCUCUUAAUUUUCUGGAAAGUCUCUACUGGAUAAGCCCCUCCUUACCUUCACUGUCUGGCAGAGUGAUGGGCACAGAUAGAAGAACACUUAUGGACUCUGACUCCCUUCACUGUGUGCUGAGUGAGGACUAAGGGUAGAUGUGUGAAUGGCCAGAUGGCUUUUGGAAAGUAGGAAAACAGGGCUUUCUAUUGCUCCUGAAACACUUUUUCUCCUACUAGAAGACUGACAAGGCUGGAGAAUCCAGCCCAGUACUGGGAACUCAGUUCAGUUCAAGAAGGGAUGGUGUGCUCCCGGACUCUAUAGAAGGAGCUGCGACAGUACUUACUGGUGCUUGGUCACUUGGUUAUCAGCAUUAGAGAAUGAUGAGACUGUCCCAUGGGAGUACACUGAGGUCUGUUUUUGAGCUACAUUUGACAUUGAUAUAAUGUUUCUUGGAAUCGCGGGCCAUUUUGGUUCCCUGGCCUCAUUAAGGGUUGGUAUACUGUUGAAUCAUAAGCUUAUUUUCUUCCUAACCUGCCUUAACUGGAUGUAUUUGGUGGGUAACCCAAGGGUGAAUUUUGGUGGGUGGUUGGUUGCUUUGUGGCUUCUGAAAAGUGAGCCUAGCUAAUAUGAUUGUGGACAGUAUCAACUAUGCAUCUGUGUUACCCAUCCCUUUCCCCAAGAGACUACCUGAGAAGAAGCCAGUUAGAUAUUGGAAAUAGAGUCAAAACGGAGAAGUAUGAAAACUCAGUAACAUACAAACGGAGAAGUGUGAAAAGUCACUUGAAGAACCUGCCAGGAAACCAGUCUAUUCUUACUGAAUUCAUGACGUUCCCCAUCACUCCAAAAAUUACCAGAGAUCCCUGGGUGAUAGUAACUAAUAUUGUCUUUUCCUCUCUCAUCUUUAAAAAGGGACAAAAAAAAAUGGAUAGCAAAGUGAUGCAACCUCUGAAUGCUGCCAAGACAUGAGACCAUUGUUGCCUCAUUUCUUUCAGUGCUUUUCUUGUGGGGCCAGAAGUUCCUAGCCAUGACUUGUGAAUAUGGUUCUGCAGGGACUUAGAGCUCCCUGGGCAUGGGUCUGAAGUGAUAAGUAGACCCGCGUGGGCUGUGAUACUACACACUUUCUUACUAGCACUUCCAGUCCUGCCUUGGUGCUUGGUGAGAUUAGCAGUUUCCUUUGAACGGUACUGCUCUGGGCUGCUUUCCCAUUGUCACAGUGAGCAAGCAUUAUACUUUCCUUUCUGUGGGAGAAGUAGAGCAGAGAGGAGUGAAGUAACCCCAGGGGUGAAAAAUAAAAAUUAUCCACGUUGGACUGGAACGUCAUAAUUCUGUCAGUCAUCCUGAUGGCCAUUCAUUUCUGCAGAAUAUAAAAGGGAAACCAGAGUCUCUCCCAGGAAAACUGCCUUUUGAGUUCAAGCCCUCAGGGAAGAUCUUUGAUGCAUUGUUCUUCUUCCUUGUUGUGCCUUCUCUUCAUUACAAAUAGCCUUUCAUGAAGCUUACAAGAAGGGACGUGAGCACCAGCACCCGGUGAGCAACCCCCUAGGUCACAAAAAUGAUAGCCUGUGAGUACAGUUCAUGCGGGGUCAGCUGUCUCCGAACAUGGCACCUACUCAAUGCCUUUGUUAUCACACUGAGUAGGCCAUCAUCAGAGACACCCUGGCUACAAGGCUGAGCAAAGUGCUUGUAUUGUGAUCUUGAGAGAAAGGCCCAUGACCAGACAGAUUGCCUACCUUGAUUGCUGCUUUAGAAUCUGGAUUCUUCUCUCAAAUUCCUUCUUGACUCAGCAGUGGUGGCCCAUGACUGUUCCAGUCCUUGCUGAAGCGUUUGGGACAGUGGGCUCGCAGCGUCAUGCUCUCCACACGGCAGGCGGAGCACAGCUUGUUUCCAAAGGCCUCCUGGAUCCGGAGAACCAGGAGUUUGUGGUGGGCCUCAUCCAUGGCGUAGAAGUGGUUGAAAUCCAGGAAGACAA